GUCAGGAGACUGAGUGGAUCUGGCAAUGGGAGCUCAUGAAAAUUCUCUUCUGGCACUUCUAAUUCUCAAGAAAGUAAGGAGCAAGGUAAUCAGCUGAGGUGGCAUGGGGAGACUGCACUGGAGGUCUGAAAGAGCAAGCGGAUAACAUUAAACAUGGAAGCUUUCCAUUUGUGGCACUGAAUGAUGGCCUACACAGAGCAUCCUUCAAAAGCUGCAAUUAAGUACCCAUCUAACUUUUCAGCAAUACAAGCCCAGUUGAGAUCUUCUGGUCCAUUUGCUUGAAAUUUCUUUUUGAUUGCAUCCUUACAGCUUGUGAAGAUCAUUUUACUUUUCAGAGGUGGUAGUUCUGGUGCCCACAAAAACAAACAAACAAACAAUACUCUUCCGGAUUUCUUCGUUUCAAAGCUUGCAUCAUAUAAAGCAUAGCAGCAAUCUUUUUCAGGAAGCAUUCCCACAAAGUGCUUGAAAGGACCAGUUAUGGUUACACCAAUAUCUCCAGCUGAGAUCUCUUUGCCCUCUUCUACAAUGAUGCACUUUUUGUCUGCACUGAGACAAAAAAUGACAGUCUUCUUUCUUUUCUUGAUUUCUUCUGAUGUGGAGCAUUUAUGAACUUUUAUGUCACAAAAAAUGUGACAUACUUCAUCAGCAACUUGCACUCCUGAGUCCGUCUUUGCCGCCACGGUCACAGGGACACAGGGGAGGCCGCUGGUGGGCACCGAGUCUGCGGAGUGUCCUCUUCACAGCUGCGUACCAAGAGACUGCACUGCUCUUAACUAUAAACGUCUGAACACUGAAUAUUAAACACUAAAGCCUAAACCCUGCCCGCACCCCGACUCUAAUCCUAGACCAAACAAAACACUAAAACUCACCUUAGUCUCCAGCCCCUUGCCCUAACCUCAGUGUUAACCUAAACCUUAAUCCUGAUGCUACAAUUUUAAAGCAUGAGCAUUUGGUCUAUGUGUAAAGCGUUUUAACUAUGGCAGUGAGUAAAGAAGGCAUCUCCUUCCACUCCCCUUUGCUUACUCUGCCCCAGGCCACAGAUUCCUGGCCAGUCCCCUCAUUUCCUUCUGGUCUUUACUCACACAUCCCCUUCCCCAAAGAGUUUAAGCCAACUGUGCAGUUAGAGAGAACAGUCCCCACAAGAGACCACCCUCACUUCUGACACCAACUGCAAUUUAGGGGGAAAACCACCCAAAACCACCCUCAGGUUACAUAACUUGCUAGCAGGGCUCACGGAAAGCUGUUGUAUUCAUAGUUAUGUUGUAUUACAGGGAAGCCAUACAGAUUAAAAUCUGCCAAGGGGAGGGAUAAAAUCAGCCAAGGCAGAGUCUAGGAGGGUCUCUCUAAAUAUGAAGCUUCCGUUUGUUCUCUGUGAAGUCAUGGGCACCACUUAUCACCAGCAGGCCUAAAACCCACUUUACCUAUUUGUGUAUUGUCUCUCUGUCCCAUAGGAAUGUUAGCUUCAUGACGGCAGGGAAUUUGGUCAGCUUUACUCACUGCUGUGUGACUUCUAGAACUGCACCAUCCAAUAUUGUAGCUACUAGCCAUGUGUGGGUACUGAGCACUUGAAAAAUGGCUGUCCCACCUCAAAAUACACCAUAAGUGUAAAAUACACAUGGGAUUUUAAGGGCUUAGUAUUAAAAGAAAAAUGUAAAAUAACUCACUGCUAAUUUGUUAUACUGGUUAUGGGUUAAAAUGAUAUUUGGUAGAUAUUGGGUUAUAUAAAAUAUAUCAUUAAAAUGUAUUUCUCUUUUUUAUAAACUUAAAUUGUGAUCUGCAAUGUGUGUGUGUG
ensembl:lncRNA novel transcript